AUCGCUUCUCGGCCUUUUGGCUAAGGUCAAGGGCAGUAUCUGUUCUUACCAGUUUAACACAGGUGAAGAGAAAGCACGUAAUGCAAGGUGAAGGAAGAAACUCUGUAAAGGUCCUUUUCAAGAACUUGGAAACCUACGACUUCUC
ensembl:snRNA U2 U2 spliceosomal RNA